UACGUAGGGGCCAAGCGUUGUCCGGAUUUAUUGGGCGUAAAGAGCUCGUAGGUGGUUCGGCAAGUCAGUUGUGAAAUCUCCGCGCUCAACGCGGAGGGGUCAGCUGAAACUGCUGUGACUUGAGUCUGGUAGGGGAGUGUGGAAUUCCCGGUGUAGCGGUGAAAUGCGCAGAUAUCGGGAGGAACACCGGUGGCCGAAGGCGGCAUCCUGGACCGGCAUUGACGCUG
rnacentral:rRNA from 1 species